rnacentral:lncRNA from 1 species
AAUGACACAAAUGAAUAAGUAGAUAACUCCCUAAUUCCCUCAGAAUUAGGGAGCUAUCUACCAAAAGGCUGAAAGACGUAAAUUGGUCUUUCAGCCAAAUUUACUAAUACUAAGUAAAGAUUACUUAGAAUUAGUAAAUUAUGCCCCUACUCGCUAUACCGCGAGUAGGGGCAUGUCUAGUAAACAGUGAGCAGUCUGUGG